rnacentral:rRNA from 1 species
GGGCGGAACGCUGGCGGCGUGCCUAAUACAUGCAAGUCGAGCGGACAGAUGGGAGCUUGCUCCCUGAUGUUAGCGGCGGACGGGUGAGUAACACGUGGGUAACCUGCCUGUAAGACUGGGAUAACUCCGGGAAACCGGGGCUAAUACCGGAUGGUUGUUUGAACCGCAUGGUUCAAACAUAAAAGGUGGCUUCGGCUACCACUUACAGAUGGACCCGCGGCGCAUUAGCUAGUUGGUGAGGUAACGGCUCACCAAGGCAACGAUGCGUAGCCGACCUGAGAGGGUGAUCGGCCACACUGGGACUGAGACACGGCCCAGACUCCUACGGGAGGCAGCAGUAGGGAAUCUUCCGCAAUGGACGAAAGUCUGACGGAGCAACGCCGCGUGAGUGAUGAAGGUUUUCGGAUCGUAAAGCUCUGUUGUUAGGGAAGAACAAGUACCGUUCGAAUAGGGCGGUACCUUGACGGUACCUAACCAGAAAGCCACGGCUAACUACGUGCCAGCAGCCGCGGUAAUACGUAGGUGGCAAGCGUUGUCCGGAAUUAUUGGGCGUAAAGGGCUCGCAGGCGGUUUCUUAAGUCUGAUGUGAAAGCCCCCGGCUCAACCGGGGAGGGUCAUUGGAAACUGGGGAACUUGAGUGCAGAAGAGGAGAGUGGAAUUCCACGUGUAGCGGUGAAAUGCGUAGAGAUGUGGAGGAACACCAGUGGCGAAGCGACUCUCUGGUCUGUAACUGACGCUGAGGAGCGAAAGCGUGGGGAGCGAACAGGAUUAGAUACCCUGGU